CGAACGGCUGAGUAACACGUAGGUGACCUGCCCCGAAGUUUGGGAUAACAACUCGAAAGAGUUGCUAAUACCGGAUGUGACCACCGAUUCAUUUCGGUGCUUAAAGUCGUAAGACGCCUUGGGAGGGGCCUGCGGCGGAUUAGCUAGUUGGUGUGGUAACGGCAUACCAAGGCUUCGAUCCGUAGCUGGUCUGAGAGGAUGGCCAGCCAGACUGGGACUGAGACACGGCCCAG
rnacentral:rRNA from 1 species